UUAGUGGCGCACGGGUGAGUAACGCGUAGAUAAUCUGCCUGAUGAUCUGGGAUAACAUCUCGAAAGGGGUGCUAAUACCGGAUAAGCCCACGGGGUCUUUGGAUUCUGCGGGAAAAGGGGGGGACCUUCGGGCCUUCUGUCAUCAGAUGAGUCUGCGUACCAUUAGCUAGUUGGUAGGGUAAAAGCCUACCAAGGCUACGAUGGUUAGCUGGUUUGAGAGAAUGAUCAGCCACACUGGAACUGAGACACGGUCCAGACUCCUACGGGAGGCAGCAGUGGGGAAUUUUGCGCAAUGGGCGAAAGCCUGACGCAGCAACGCCGCGUGAGUGAUGAAGGCUUUCGGGUCGUAAAGCUCUGUCAAUGGGAAAGAAGUGUAUUGUGGCUAAUAUCCACGAUACUUGACGGUACCCAUAAAGGAAGCACCGGCUAACUCCGUGCCAGCAGCCGCGGUAAUACGGGGGGUGCAAGCGUUGUUCGGAAUUAUUGGGCGUAAAGCGCGUGUAGGCGGUUUGAUUAGUCUGAUGUGAAAGCCCUGGGCUCAACCCAGGAAGUGCAUUGGAUACUGUCAGACUUGAAUACGGGAGAGGGUAGUGGAAUUCCUAGUGUAGGAGUGAAAUCCGUAGAUAUUAGGAGGAACACCGGUGGCGAAGGCGGCUGCCUGGACCGAUAUUGACGCUGAGACGCGAAAGCGUGGGUAGCAAACAGGAUUAGAUACCCUGGUAGUCC
rnacentral:rRNA from 1 species